UACAGAGGGUGCAAGCGUUGUUCGGAAUUAUUGGGCGUAAAGCGCGUGUAGGCGGCCGUGCAAGUCGGGUGUGAAAGCCCUCGGCUCAACCGAGGAAGUGCGCCCGAAACUGCAUGGCUUGAGUACCGGAGAGGAUGGCGGAAUUCCCCAAGUAGAGGUGAAAUUCGUAGAUAUGGGGAGGAACACCGAUGGCGAAGGCAGCCCCCUGGGCUAACACUGACGCUCAUGCACGAAAGCGUGGGGAGCAAACAGG
rnacentral:rRNA from 1 species